UACGAAGGGGGCUAGCGUUGUUCGGAUUUACUGGGCGUAAAGCGCACGUAGGCGGUUUGUUAAGUCAGGGGUGAAAUCCCGGAGCUCAACUCCGGAACUGCCUUUGAUACUGGCAAGCUAGAGUCCGGAAGAGGUAAGUGGAACUCCUAGUGUAGAGGUGGAAUUCGUAGAUAUUCGCAGGAACACCAGUGGCGAAGGCGGCUUACUGGUCCAUAACUGACGCUGAGGUGCGAAAGCGUGGGGAGCAAACAGG
rnacentral:rRNA from 1 species